UACAGAGGGGGCAAGCGUUAUUCGGAAUUAUUGGGCGUAAAGGGCGCGUAGGCGGCGAUUCAAGUGACGGGUGAAAUCCCUCGGCUUAACCGAGGACCUGCCUGUCAGACUGGAUUGCUUGAGGCCGGGAGAGGCGAGUGGAAUUCCCAGUGUAGCGGUGAAAUGCGCAGAUAUCAGGAAGAACACCAAUGGCGAAGGCAGCUCUCUGGGACGGUACUGACGCUGAGACGCGAAAGCGUGGGGAGCGAACAGG
rnacentral:rRNA from 1 species